rnacentral:rRNA from 1 species
CUGAACCAGCCAAGUAGCGUGAAGGAUGACUGCCCUAUGGGUUGUAAACUUCUUUUAUACGGGAAUAAAGUGAGCCACGUGUGGCUUUUUGUAUGUACCGUAUGAAUAAGGAUCGGCUAACUCCGUGCCAGCAGCCGCGGUAAUACGGAGGAUCCGAGCGUUAUCCGGAUUUAUUGGGUUUAAUGGGAGCGUGGGCGGGUUGUUAAGUCAGUUGUGAAAGUUUGCGG